GCCCGGGGUAGGAUCGCGGCUAGGUUGGCAACCGUGAAGCUCAAGGGUCGGAAGUGUCGGAAGGGACGCGCGCCGUGUGGCUCACACUUCCCGGCUCGCCCGUUUCGGUCUGCCAUCUUUUAUUCUGAGGUGAAGCGUGUGUUUUCGCGUCCUGCUGUAUCGCGUGAUUUUACGAAGACACUGAUUCGGUUCUCGCACGAGCCACAAAAUGCCGGGUUUUAGCAGCGUUGGCACGUUUAAAAUUUUCAUCGGUAAUUUAGCCGACAAAACCUCAAAUGCUGACAUUAAGCCGCUGUUCGAGAAGUACGGAAAAGUCGUUGAGUGCGACGUGGUAAAGAAUUAUGGGUUCGUGCAUAUGGAGAACGAGGAGGCAGGGCGUAAUGCGAUACAGAAUCUGAACGGACAUAUGGUUCAUGGGCAACCAAUAAAGUGCGAGGCCGCGAAGAGUCGUAAGGGACCCAACACUCCCACGACUAAGAUCUUCGUUGGCAAUCUCACCGAUAACACGAAGGCGCCGCAAGUGCGAGAGCUCUUCGCCAAGUACGGCACAGUCGUCGAGUGUGACAUCGUGAGGAACUACGGAUUCGUUCAUCUGGAGGCGACCGGCGACGUCAAUGACGCCAUUAAGGAGCUAAACGGUCAAAUCGUCGAUGGACAGCCGAUGAAAGUCCAAAUAUCUACCAGCCGUGUACGACAGAGGCCAGGAAUGGGUGAUCCGGAACAAUGCUAUCGUUGCGGCCGAGGCGGUCACUGGUCGAAAGAGUGUCCCAAGGGUGGAAUGGGCGGUGGACCGGACAGGAAUGGAUACAGAGACCGAAUGUUUGGUCGCGACCCAUAUCCGCCGCCACCGCCACCGCCAUUCCUGAGGGACCGUCUCAUGGGUGGUGGCCGCUUUGGGGACUACGAAAGCUACUACGACAGAAGAGGCUUCGAGGACACCAGGGACCUCUACGAGAGGCGGUUUACGGGUAUGGGAUCCAUGCGAGACACUGGCUUUUCCCGCGGAAACGAGUAUGGCAUGUUCAGCCGCCGAUCACCCCCUCCGAGUGGCAACAACGGCCGGUUCAGUGCACCUCAGGCUGCGUACCAUCUUUGUCCAUGAACGCGGGCAACCCUAGAGAGACAGUCCCGGGUCAGCGUUCAAGUCGUACAAGAUCAAACUUGCAGAUUCGGAGGUUGAAGGGUCUACAGAUUCGGAUUCGGACCCCCGCUCUCCAGACUCUGCUUUUCUACCCGACCACAACGGCAAACAGAGCGGCCCACAGCCCACAUUACACACUAACGGCUAG
rnacentral:misc_RNA from 1 species